UGGUGGAUUGAUCUGUCUGCUUAAUUGCGGUAACGAACGAGAUCACUACCUCUAAAUAGGUGGUCACCACGUAUGUAUGUAGGGUCAUCAGCAUAUCUCCGGAUUACUGUUGGCCCGAGUGUGUGUCACACUUCUUAGAGGGACUGCGUGCGUUUUUAGCACGCGGAGGAUGGUGCCAAUAGCA
rnacentral:rRNA from 1 species